UCUUCAACUUUUGAAGUUUAAUGUUUUUAUCUGAAAAGUAGGCUGUUUAUUAUUUAUUUGUUUAUGUAACAAGGUCCCCGUGUUCCCUGCUGGGGAGAUCAUUUGUUUUCUGUGCAAGUAGAGAGGGAAAAAUCCCCAAGUAUAACAAGAGACGAACAGUUAGUGCUGAUUUUCAUUUGCAUAAAUUUUCAUAUAUUUUAGUGAAAAUAAUAGCGGUGCAGAGGAGAGCUCCGCUCAGUUGAGUCAGAGGGAAGAAAAUCUUAGGAAGGACCGAAACGGAGGGAGAGAGUCGGUCACUGAUGGACGAACAAUGCAGUAUUUGAGACAUUUUUCCAGUUAUCGUGGAAUCUUAGGGAGAGGAACUUCAACUCUCCCACCUUCCCUCCCUUCUCCAGGGAGAGGGGCCUCCUUCCACGCUGGACCCAGACUCAAUCUGCUGCAGAGGGACAGAGUGACUAUGCUCUGCCCCUGUUUCACACUCACAGCGGAGGUAAAUGGUGUGAUCUGUGCGACGACUGAUGGACACGGAGCCAGGAUGAGAGACAGAGAGCACCGCAGUGGCGUGUGGAGGUCGGAACCAGCAUAUGCCAGCCAGUCAGCCUGUCCUCCCCACUGCCGAGUGAUGAGAGCAGGGAGCCGAGAGCCGCCCUGCCCAUGACGAGCUGCCAGCUGGCUGGGGAAGAGAACACAGUGGACUGACACUCUGCUGGGGGGUAACCUGCCAGGAGGAAGGGAAAGACAGCUGCGUGUGUGACUGGUGUGUGGGUGUGGUCAGUUAAGUAUGUGUGUGUGCGCGUGUAUGAAGGGAUACAGGCACUGCUCAGGGUGCGGUUGGUCUCCUGCAGGGGUCCAGAUGGAUGCAGGGAGGGGGGUGAGCUUGAUUCAAGGGUUUUUUGGAGAGAGUGACAAGAGUGACAAAAUUUCUCUGGAGCUCAAACUGUGCUGCCAGCAUGUUCUCUCCUGGCCCGCCUUAUGCCCCCCACUGUCACCUGUUAACCCCCCACCCCUUUGCCCUGCUCAGGGAUUGGCUUUGAGAUGGGCACACACACUUAGUGAAACAGGCAUGAAGGCAUGGUAUGGUUUCAGAGGCUUUUUCUUAGUGUGAACUGGCCAACUAAAACUGGGCUGUUACAGUCAUUAUGCUGUAGGGACGCUCCUAAAUAAGGACCAAAAGCACUGAAGCACUGAAAAUGUCUCAUAUGACAUUCAUUAAUUUGCUGCAUCUUAACUUCAUUUUCAUAAGUUGUUCAAGCUAAUUCUUUACAUUUUUGGGACAUAUCUAUUUAUAGAAAAUCAGGGAUGUAGGGAUGAUUUGAAAAAAGAGUGCCACAAUAUAAAAUACAUCAGGUUUGUUCAUGAAUAUUAAUUAUGUGACAUGACAUUUGCCUAGCAGACAUAAAUAAUUUGGUUGGUAAGGUAAGAAAGUAAUUCUUUAUUUGGCUUAUUAUAGGCUUUGCUUAUCCACCCAGAUGUAUUUUUUUCUAUGCGAUACAAUCAUGCAAAAUAAGUAAUAACUGCCUGUUCACAAACUGUCAUAAGAGUGUCCACAAUAAAGUCAAGUCAAGUCACCAUUAUUUGUAUAGCGCUUUUUACAAUGCAGAUUGUCAAAGGAGCUUUACAGUGUUACGGUAUAAAGAAAAGGAAGAAUCAUAUCAUAAAUACCUUUUCACCACACAACAUUUUACAACUAACCUUGCCUUAAAAAGGUCAAAAAUAUCAGAAUUUGUAUUUUUUUAUUGACUUACACACAGUCCUGCUGGGGUCUUCACUAUGAUUUUAUUUUAUUUUAUUUUUCUUGCAUGCUGGGUAGACAUCUACUUGAGUUGCUAGAAAAUAGUUUUUCAAAUAUUAAUAAGGGGUAAAGCAGGUUUGUUACAGGUUUGAUUUUUUUUCCCCCUCAGAAACAAUAAUAAAAUAUUAUAGAAUAUGUCAAACUAAAGUGUUCUUUUCAAGAACUGUAUUGUUUUAUUGAUUUUUUUAUUCAUUAUGAUAUCAUUAAAAUACAAUACAUUUAUGAUAUCACUAAUCACUAUGAUAUCAAAAUAUUUUCCUCACCCUGACCUUUUGCCCCCUGAAAUUACCAAAAUGGAUUUUAAUACAAAAAUCAAAGAAGAUGUAUAUUAAAGCCUUGCAUAUUACAUUUUUGAAUAAAUUAAUAGAUGAUGCUCAUGUCAGUUUCUAGUAUGUUCUAACAAUCAGUUUAUAUGGGAGUAUCACUGUACAGAGUCAAGCUAACAAACACAUUUAAUUAUAAAUAUUAAUAUUAAUAAUACAAUUUAUAUUUACUUCAUAUAGUACAUCAGGUACAUUAAUGUGUAAAAUCCAUUCUGUAAAAACAUGGGUCAAAUUCAGUGUGCACAAAUAAUAAGAAGCUUUUAUCUUCAAAACAACCACUGUCUUGUUUCAUAAGUCUCCCCUCCUAAUUCUAUCAUUCUUGCACUCUUUCUUUAUAAUAAGACUCUUUUGUGUCCUUGAUCAGUGUGACCUACAGUGCUUUCUCUGGGAAUAAUCUCUGUCUUUUAUGAAAUUAGUCUGGAUACAGAGCAGGAACGCCAGAGCUGUCUGGUCCGCCCUGCAGGCCGGUCCCAUGGUGAGGGCGGAGAGGAGAUCAGACGUCCCCUCACACAUACUGUCCUUCAGAUACAUCUCCAUGGGGGCAUCAUUAAUCUGGACCUCAUAGAAACACAGAAGAACUGUUUGGCUUGUAGAGAAUGAUAUUUAAAAAUUUACAUUGGCAUAUCAUAUACAUGCUAUAUGUUGAAGCAAAGGUGAACAUUUUCUUCGCUCUUUCUCAUCUGUACCUCUAUUUUCCUAUUUCUCUCUCCCACUCUCUAUAUCUCGGGUUUUACACUCUUUUCAUAUCUCCUCCAAAUACUUUCUUGACCCUACAGCCAUCUUCAUUUCAGUUACAACCAUGGCACACACACACACACACACACACACACACACACACACACACACACACACACACACACACACACACACACACACACACAGGCGUCACAUUUACAUUUCAAACUGGCACUGUGUCUGCCACACAUUCAUUAUUUACCAGCCCCUGGCCACAGUGGAGAGUGCCUGAUCUCUCACUCUCUCCAUCUCCCUCUCUCUCUGUUUCUGUCUCCCUGUGACUCUUACCCUCUUCUCUUCCACCACCACUUCCUGUUUCUACAUUGUGGAUAGUGAACGUUAUGAGUACAAGGUAAUUAUGGCUCUCAGCAUGGCCAAAUCAUUCUUAUCACACUUUAACUCAAAGAAAAAAAACAACAACAACAAAAAAAAAAACAGUGGAAUGUUACGGAUUUGGAUGUAAUGUAUGGAAAUAUGUGUCUUAACAUAUAAACAAUAAACUUGAUUUUUAAAGAUGGAAA